UUUUUUUUUUGGUUGUGGGAAAGAAUUAUUUUGCAUUUCUUUCCCUGUUUUGGUUGUGGGAAAGAAUUAUUUUGCAUUUCUUUCCCUGUUUUGGUUGUGGGAAGGAAUUAUUUUGCAUUUCUUUCCCUGUUUUGGUUGUGGGAAGGAAUUAUUUUGCAUUUCUUUCCCUGUUUUGGUUGUGGGCAAGAAUUAUUUUGCAUUUCUUUCCCUGUUUUGGUUGUGGGCAAGAAUUAUUUUGCAUUUCUUUCCCUGUUUUGGUUGUGGGCAAGAAUUAUUUUGCAUUUUUCUUCAUUCUUUUAUCUUUUAUUUAAUUUUUUUGGUUGCUGGAGGAAAAUAAGACACUGAAAGGUGAGAUAAAAAUGUGUUUAUUGACUGAUUCUUGACUGGUUCCAUCCUUCCUUCCUUCCUUUCAACAACAACAACAGUAAGAUCAUGAAAGCUUACUAUGUCAUGGCACUCGGCAUCUUAAAAAUAAUUAUAUUCUUAGGAAAUAUAGCACAAAAAAAAUAUAUAUAUGUAGGCAGGCAUUGAGGAUUUAGUUUCGGUUUUAUGAGACUGACACACACACACACACACACACACACACACACACAUUGAAGAGGUUUGGGACACUCUAAAACUGACUUCACAUGCGUGUCGGACUAUCGGUCGAAUUCGUAUACAAUCAGACUCCCAUUUUGACUAUUUCCUAAGGCCGCUGAGAAGAUUAACUGGGUUUUCAUGGGUGACUUUCCAGGUCAAGGAGCAAAAGGUCGUGUAUAACUAUCACCAGCAUCACAAAACAGUCCAUGAAAACCCCUGCAACUUCUACAAGUGGGUUUUCAAACAGCCCACAGAGAAGAUUAACUGGGUUCUCAUGGGUGAUUUUCCCAUUCAUGGUGCAUAAGUCAUGUAAAUCUAUCAUUGGCAUCACAAAACAGCCCAUGAAAACCCCUGAAACUUCUACGAGAGGCUUUUCAAACAGGCGAACUGCAGCGCCGAGACAUUUAAAAAUCUGGGCCUAUAACAGAAACUUAUUUGACACCACAGAGUAAGGAACAGAAGACACAUUAAUGGCUACGUAAGUACUCAAAAGCUAGUCACCAAAUACUAAGGCUAAAUUAUUGCUAUUAACACAGACAGCUACUUGUAUAGGUAUCAUUAACAAAUUCAUGACUAACAGAACUAACAUAUGAAUUGGCAAUCAUGAACAAGUAACAAAUUAGUUCUCAAAUGCUGGUUAACACUAUUUUGUUCCUGUAAACACACAUUAAUACUAGAUACAUGAAUAACAUAGAUAUUAAUAUGGUACAGAAUAUAAUUAAAUGAGAGUAAAUUCUGAAAUAUAUGGAAUCUUAGCAUCACACACACACACACACACACACACCAAAGAAAAAAAAUCUAAUUGGUUAACAUAGUGAGGCACAGUUAUGGCAUAUGCACCCAACCUCCUCUACUUACUAACACUACAUACACUAUCUCUGUUCAUACAUACAUACAUACAUACAGUGCCAUAGUUCUACACUGCAGGUCUUGUGGGAAUCAUAAUGAAAAACAAGGGAUAGUUUGUUAAAAAAAAUUUAAAAACUAUCGCUAACUUACCUCUAUCAACACAAGACAGCUGACUCUGUGCUAAGGCUAUUGCUAAUGCUAUUACAACCGCUAGCAACAUGGACGACUACUUCUAUAUUAUGUUCCCUCUAUAUAAUUCUCUCCUCCAUCCUCCUAUUAUAAUUAUCAGUCAUGGGUUGAUGUAUGUAUUUUUCUAGGGUUUUAUUUAGGUUUUCAAGACUUAAGGUUAUUUCACUAGAGUCAUACGUUAAUGUAUUUUUCUAUGGGGAUUCAAUACUCUUAUGUACUUCCCCAGAGUCAUGGGUUAAUGUAUUUUUCUAAGGGGAUUCAAUACUUUUAUGUACUUCCCUAGAGUCAUGGGUUAAUGGACUUUCUAAGGGGAUUCAAUACUCUCAUGUACUUCCCUAGAGUUAUGGAUUAAUGUAUUUCUCUAGGGGAAUUCAAGACUCCUCAUGUACUUCCCUAGUAAUGGGUUAAUUUAUUCACACGAUGGUAAUGGGUUUGAAUCCCCUCACCAAUGGGUCUGAGUGGUCUGGAUAUCUAUGUAAAUUACUCCUAAGGGUUGAAGCACUGUGCCCUGAGGUCUCUUAACACAGCCUUAGCUACAUAAAAAUGAGCAACAUCUCUAUACACAAAGCAUUAUAUAAAUUCUUCCUCUAUCAACCUAACAAAACAUCACAGCGAAAGAGGUAUGUAUGUAUAUGUACGUGUGUAUGUUCGUAUAUUGCACUCCUCGGAGAUCACAGAACGUCCGACAGAAGAAUCAGAUCUUACAUAAAACCACAACCUUGUGAAACCUUAUCGUUGGCAUUUCCCCGAACUAAAUGAAGGAACUCAAAUGCAUGUAAUGGAUGCAAUACUCUUUCUCUCUCCCUUCUUACUAAAGGCUAAGGGAGUGGGGAGUAAUUGAGGGAGUGUGUUCUAAAGGUUACGGCAUCAUUCUCUAUGGAAGUGAGUGUGAAACAAUGGCUUGCACACCUUACAACCACACAACCUUCCAAGAAUGUGACAACCUUAUCACUGGCAUUACCCUGAACUAAAUGAACCGAGUGUGGAAGUGAGUGUGAAACAAUGGCUUGCACACCUUACAACCACACAACCUUCCAAGAAUGCGACAACCUUAUCAUUGGCAUUACCCUGAACUAAAUGAACCGAGUGUGGAAGUGAGUGUGAAACAAUAGCUUGCACACCUUACAAACACACAACCUUCCAAGAAUGCAAAAACAACCUCAUCAUUGGCGUUUCCCUGUACUAAAUGGAGUAAGUGUGUGGCCAUAGCUUGCCAGGCUCACAAUAUAGAACCUUAGAACUAUAUAUGGAACCUUACAAACCUAGUGGGCGGUGGAGCGUCAGAUGAGCAUGGUAGACUUAAGCAACCAGGACGAAGGUUAUAAAGGUGACAUAACAAGACUAUGAGAUGAACACAACCCUUACGCAAUAGUUAAUAAAGUAACGCAUAGGAAAAAGGUAGGAAGAUGGACACAUUCGACAUUAGUAAAUAAGACUGCAAGCUCUCCCUUCCUAAGCCAUUCCAGUUCCAUCCGUGUCAGUCUGCCAUAACCUGUUCCAUACAAGAUUUAUAUGACACUCUUAUGGGUUAAUGGCUACAGUUCAACAUGGUAAUUUUCUUUCUCCUUGAUAGCAAUAGCAUGGUGUAAUUAGGCCAUGGAAAAAGUCAUGCUGGUUAAGUACAUAGAAAUCAACAAAUAUCAGUCUGGCAUGACCUGUUCCAUACAAGAUUUUAAUGACACUCUUAUGGGUCAAAGGCUACACUUAACACAUUACUUUUCUCCUUGAUAGCAAUAGCAUGGUGUAAUUAGGCCAGGGAAAAGUCAUGCUGGUUAAGUACGUAGAAAUCAACAAAUAUCAGUCCGCCAUAACCUGUUCCAUACGUGAUUUAAAUGACACUCUUACGGGUUAAUGGCUACAGUUCAACAUGGUAAUUUUCUCCUUGAUAGCAAUAGCAUGGUGUAAUUAUGCCACGGAGAAAGUCAUGCUGGUUAAGUACAUAGAAAUCAGCAAAUAUCAGUCUGGCAUAACCUGUUCCCUGCAAGAUUUAAAUGGCUCACUCUUACAGGUUACAGUUUAUAGGGUGCCUCUGUUUUCUUGGCAAGGGAGGGCUUGGAACACAGCCACUGGACAGCACUGGACAUAAGCCACACUCACUUGUAUAUCUGUAUCAUAAAUCUAUGGGUUAAAGCUACACGCUACCAGUAACAACAACACCCUAGCUAGCGUCUACCUAACAGUAAAGGCAACAGUACAUUACUAGCCAGCCAGCCAACCACUCAACCAGAUAGCCAGUCAGGCAGCCAACCAGCCAGCCAGAUAGCCAGUCAGCCAGCCAACCAACCAGCCAACCAGAUAGCCAGUCAGCCAGCCAACCAACCAGCCAGCCAGAUAGCCAGCCAGUCAACCAGAUAGCCAGCCAGUCAGUUAGCCAGCCAGCUAAACAUGUAUAAAAUUGGACGGUAUAAUGUUUCUCUAUUGCACACUAAAAGAAUUCCAUGGCAAAGUACUCCAUGAUAUGUGUUUGAUAAAACUUAUGUUCGUUUCAGUCAAUCAUCUUCACAGACGCAAGCAAGAAGACCGAGCACAGCGUGCCUAUGUAAACUUCAGUCAGCUGUUUUUUGUUUACGUUCCUUAUAAAAUUCUUGGUCCGUUUCCUUCACUGUUGAAUAAUGACGAUGGAAGUAGUCGUGAAUGCACCCGUGAUAUAAGAAUACUGCCCGAUACAGUUGAAACAGGAGGUGCAUAUGUGUACGGUAAACAUACAUAGAUAUACAAAGAACUAUGAGAGCUAAAAAUACACAAAAAUACUGUUAGUUAGAUAUACAGAAAACUAAGAGAGAGAGCUAAAUAUACACAAAAAUACAGGUAAUUAGAUAAAGGAACUGAGAGCUGAAAAUACACAAAAAUACAGGUAGAUAGAUUUACAGAGAACUUAGAGAGAGCUACAAAUACACAAAAAUACAGGUAGAUAGAUUUACAGAGAACUUAGAGAGAGCUACAAAUACACACAAAUACAGGUAGGUAGAUUUACAGAGAGCUUAGAGCUGAAAAUACACAAAAAUACAGGUAGAUAGAUUUAAAGAACUAAGAGAGAGCUACAAAUACACAAAAAUACAGGUUGAUAGAUUUAGAGAACCUAGAGAGAGCUCCAACUACACAAAAAUACAGGUAGAUAGAUUUAGAGAGAACUGAGAGAGAGCUCCAACUACACAAAAAUACAGGUAUAUAGAUUUAGAGAGAACUGAGAGAGACCUCCAACUACACAAAAAUACAGGUAGAUAGAUUUACAGAGAACUUAGGGAGGGCUACAAAUAUACAAAAAUACAGGUAGGUAGAUUUACAGAGAACUUAGGGAGGGCUACAAAUACACAAAAAUACAGGUAGGUAGAUUUACAGAGAACUUAAGAGCUGAAAAUACACAAAAAUACAGGUAGAUAGAUUUACAGAGAACUGAGAGAGAGCUACAACUACAGAAAAAUACAGGUAGGUAGAUUUACAGAGAACUUAAGAGCUGAAAAUACACAAAAAUACAGGUAGAUAGAUUUACAGAGAACUUAGAGAUGAAAAUACACAAAAAUACAGGUAGAUAGAUUUACAGAGAACUUAGGGAGGGCUACAAAUACACAAAAAUACAGGUAGUUAGAUAUACAUAGACUAAGAGAGCUGAAAAUACAUAUAAAUACAUACAUAGAUAUACAGAGAAAAAUCAAGGAAUGUAUUAAACAGGAAUUUAGGAGUAUACAACAAGGUGAAGGUAGGAAAGGAAAGUGAGGUGAGGUAAGGUAAGGUGAGGUAAGGUAGGGUAAAGAUGAAGGCAGAAAGAAGGUAAGGUAAGGUGGAGGUAGGAAAGGUAAGGUAUGAUAAGGUAAGGUAAGGUAAAGAUGAAGGCAGAAAGUAGAAGGUAAGGUGGAGGUAGGAUAGGUAAGGUACGGUAAGGUAAGGUAAAGAUGAAGGCAGAAAUUAGAAGGUAAGGUGGAGGUAGGAUAGGAAAGUGAGGUAAGGUAAGGUAAGGUAAAGUGAGGUAGGAGAGGAAAGUUAGAGGAUGGGAGGUAAAGAUGAGGGCAGAAAGAAGAAGGUAAGGGAGGGAACAGCAGGGGAAGGUAAGGGUAAGGAAAGUGAAGAUGAGGGCAGAAAGAAGAAGGUAAGGGAGGGAGGAGCAGGGGAAGGUAAGGGUAAGGAAAGUUAGAGGAUGGGAGGUAAAGAUGAGGGCAGAAAGAAGAAGGUAAGGGAGGGAACAGCAGGGGAAGGUGAGGGUAAGGAAAGUGAGAGGAUGGGAGGUAAAGAUGAGGGCAGAAAGAAGAAGGUAAGGGCAGGGGAAGGUAAGGGUAAGGAAAGUGAAGAUGAGGGCAGAAUGAAGAAGGUAAGGG